GCGGGGAGACGGGCGGCCGGAGCCCGAUCAGUCAGGCCUUGAGCCCGGAAACAGAGCCGGGAAGCUGCAGUGGGACGGAAGACCCUCAACCGCCCGGCUCCAACGACCUAGCCCCGCGCCCCUGCCCGGCGCUGCCCGCGGUACCUCGGAAGACCCAGUGAGCCGGGAGGCGGAUUCCCAUUGGUCCGCGGCCGACCAAUGAGACGCGUCUAGGGUGCUCGGCAGGGCGGGGCGAUCGGUAGCGCAGAGGAAGGGGUGCUCGCCCGCCCCGCCUGGCUCUCGGCCAGAAAAUGACCACCAAAGACUCGUCCAAGUUCUGGAAUGUCCAGGGCAGAGGCCGCUGGUACGAGAGAAUUACCAGCCAUCGCCGACGUGACUUUGACCCUAAGAAAGCUCGUGAUCUGCUGCCAGUGCCUGGUCUGGGGACCCAUGCGGGACACUCUUGCCCCACCUCCUGCUGCACAUCUGGACCUCCAGGAUGUUGGUGGCUUUGGACAUGUUCUGUCUGCUGCUGGCGUAAGCCGAAGGCAGGGGCAGGUACCAACUCUGCUCCCAACGAGAUGGGAAAUCGCGCUGCUCGACGGCACAGAACCCCUCUCCUUGAGGAACCACAUGGUAAGGCUCACCCUUUGUUAACACAGAAUAGAGGAAACGCCUGCCUCGGUGCCUUCGGCACAGAGGAAGCACAGCCCCGGUCCCCCCAACACACAGGGAAGCCCCCCGCUCAUAUUGAUAAAGCAGGAUGCGGUGCUGCCCCUCUUCUGGGGAGCUGGGAAACUUCCCUCUUUCAAACAUAGAGGGGACAUCCUGCCUCUUUAUCUUGGUGAAAAGGAAAGUCGUUCCCCACCCCCACCCCCAUUUUCUGACAUUUGGCAGGAAGCCCACACGUUUCUCCUGGUGUAGCAGGAAGUCCCGCCCCUUCCGGAUGUGGGACUCCCGCCCAGGUCUGACAAAAAUAGGGGGAUGCCCACCCUCCUUCUUGGUGACAGGGGAAGCGAUGCCCUUCUGCCUGGCUUGGUGGGAACCCAGCCCCUCCUGUCCCCACGACAGGGAGAAAUGCAGAUUGUCUGAAAUACAGGCUUGGGGAGCUCGCACUCGUGCUGCACCCCUGCCCCGGGUGGUGACCCCUCCCCACUCCAGUGUGGCCCGCAGACCAGCCUGGGAGAGGUGGUCCGGGUCCAGGGCCUGCAGGUAAGCUUGCCAACCCUCACGAAGAGCCCCCACGUGGCCGUGGUCUCCAAGCAUCUGGGCACCUUCCUGUUUGGUGGCAUAAGAUGACCACAAGUCUCUUAAGGCCCCGCUUCCUGGCACGAUCCUGCCCAACCCAGCUUCCUUCAACUAUGAGAGCAGCUACAUCGCCGACACCUGCACCAGGCACCCCGAGAAUGUCCUCGAUGCCAGGCGAGCGGGCCGGCAUUGAGGGGAACCCAGGAAGCAGCCCCUGCCACACCCCAGCCGCAUCUGAGGCUUUCUUCGUCUCUGGCUUCUUCACAUCUCAGGCAUUGCCAGCCAGGUCCCAGCAACCCCAGGGGCUGGAAGACCACCCUGACUCUCCAUUCUCUUCCCCCUUGCCCUCCCUCUGCUCUCCUGAGGACCACCAGGGAGGCCCUGAUGCAGACAGACAUAGAGGACACCAUAGAGCCCAUACUCUCUAGAGACGGUCCCUUCCCAGAGAAAGUCGGGCCUGGCUUGUUAACUGGGCCAUCUCAUCAGACCCUCCCCAUGGCCCUAGAGGGCAGGCAUUGACCGCCCCAUCUUGCAGAUAAGGAAAUUCAGCCAAAGACAAGCAAAGUGACCGUGCAAGGUCAUUCAGCUAACAAGAAAUGCCAAGGUUCAACCCCAGGCAAGGCUGGAGCUGGCCGCACCUGCCAAGGACCCAAAGCCCAAAAGAGGUGUCCAGGGGGAGCGCACUGUCCCCCACAACCUCCAUCAGCGUCCACAAGCAUCCCCAGCCAAACAUGGAAGAAAAAUCCUGGUGUCGCUUACUAUGCGGCUCCAGGACAAGUCCUCCAGGAACCGCCCGCCCCCCGCCCCCCAAAACAGACCGCAGCUCCGGAGCCCCCCCAGCUCGCCCCACUAGGGGUCCUCUCGGUUGUCGCAAGGGUUCUGGCAAGGGAGACCUACACGGAAGGAGGAGGCAGGCCACGGAUGAGAAACUGAGGCAGGGCCGCCCGGGGCGGG